UUUGAGGGGAAGCAUUGCAGUGUCCUGAAAAGUGUAUGACUGUGUGUAAAAACAAUAUACUGCAUCUGCCCAGGGCAUGAAGCAGAUGCCUUGGAUGGAGCUCUGGUGUUCUGGGCUCCUCCCACAGCCCAUGGCUGUUCCUGCCUCUCACCCUGCCACAGGGGAUGUGAAAAAGAAUUCCGAAUGUCAGCAAAACAACAUCUAAAGUACAAAGUCACCAGUAGGUUCCAAAAGCUACAUUCUGAACUCCAGCACUUUUCAGCUCUUCAGAAAGAAGGGAAAAUGUUGAUAAAUAUCCAAAAAAGGCAAACUGGUUAAAACUUUUUUGCGUGUAUUCUGUAUUAUUGAAAGUUGCUUUGUAAAGCUAUAUUGUCAGAAUGAA